rnacentral:rRNA from 1 species
GACGAACGCUGGCGGCGUGCUUAACACAUGCAAGUCGAACGAUGAAGCCUAGCUUGCUGGGUGGAUUAGUGGCGAACGGGUGAGUAACGCGUGAGUAACCUGCCCUGGACUCUGGGAUAAGCGUUGGAAACGACGUCUAAUACCGGAUAGGACCUUGCACCGCAUGGUGUGGGGUGGAAAGUUUGUCGGUUUGGGAUGGACUCGCGGCCUAUCAGCUUGUUGGUGAGGUAAUGGCUUACCAAGGCGUCGACGGGUAGCCGGCCUGAGAGGGUGCACGGCAACACUGGGACUGAGACACGGCCCAGACUCCUACGGGAGGCAGCAGUGGGGAAUAUUGCACAAUGGGCGCAAGCCUGAUGCAGCAACGCCGCGUGCGGGAUGACGGCCUUCGGGUUGUAAACCCCUUUUGCCGGGGAAGAUGAUGACGGUACCCGGCGAAUAAGCCACGGCUAACUACGUGCCAGCCGCCGCAGUAACAC